UACGUAGGGGGCGAGCGUUGUCCGGAAUGACUGGGCGUAAAGGGCGUGUAGGCGGUUGUCUAAGUCUGGAGUGAAAGUCCUGUUUUUAAGGUGGGAAUAGCUUUGGAUACUGGAUGACUUGAGUGCGGAAGAGGUAAGUGGAAUUCCCAGUGUAGCGGUGAAAUGCGUAGAGAUUGGGAGGAACACCAGUGGCGAAGGCGACUUACUGGGCCGUAACUGACGCUGGGGCGCGAAAGCGUGGGGAG
rnacentral:rRNA from 1 species